rnacentral:tRNA from 1 species
GGCAGCAUGGUAUAGUGGUUUGAACAUUGGACUAGGACUCUGGAGACCAGGGUUUAAAUCCCCACGGAGCCA